rnacentral:lncRNA from 1 species
AGAGAAGGCGAGCAGCGACGGCCUCCAGGAGAAGCUGACCAUGUCGGUGGCGGUUCCGUUGCUGUGGGGAGUCCCUCCGGCAUCGGAGACCCUCCAUGUGGCCGUGCGGAGCGGCGGAGGCAUCGUUGACAAGAUCUACUGGCAGUGGGACCUGUUCUAAGAGCCCAGGCCCCCCAGACAUUGGUUGACAAAUAAUCCACCCCACCCACACUGUAUAUAUGAUCCUUAACUGGCCUGGCUGCACACAUUGUGUCAGCAUGCAACAACCUGUGUUGGUGUCCUUGUGCGCAACCAGCAAACUUGGUGUAUACUUGUACAGACCGACCUGAUUCCUCUGGUGCAUAUAAAUAAAUAAAAAGGGUUCCGAGUUCACAGUUCAUGUUCAAUAUAAUUCAUGUUCAG